AGCCUCGUGGUGUAUAGCAUGCAAAAUUGCAAAUUUUUAGGAGUAGGGUAAUAGCCUACCGGGGCUU
rnacentral:tRNA from 1 species